rnacentral:rRNA from 1 species
AUGUAUGCGGCUUCCGGGGACACUCGGUGGGGAGAGAUGGUUUGGAGGGUGGCGUGCGGCGACUGGGGACGCACGAUGGGCAUAGAUGGUGGAGGAGGGUGGCACACGCCUCACCCAGGCCUCCUUCCACGCCGCAGCGGCAGAGUCCAAGCGCUCAUCGUGAGGACGCACGGGCGAGGAGGAUUUGGCGAGCUCCGGCGCCAAUUCCGUUGGUUCCGGCGAGCUCCGGCACCGAUUCGUUUGGCUCCGGCGAGCUCCAACGCCGAUUCGUUUGGCUCCGGCGAGCUCAUCCCCCUCCUAUAG